AUGAUUGCCUGGAAGCUGCACCAUGCAUUAUUCCAGUGCCUUAAUGAGUAUUAUGCUGGAUGGCCUACGCAAGGUGGUCAGUGGGUGACCAAGUACCCGGUUGUAGCGGAAGAAACUUUUACUAAGGGUGAAACUGGAGCUUGCGUGCUUCAUGUUGUCAGGCACUAUGACCGCUCUAAGUUGAAGAUCCCGCUAACAAAGAACAACUUCGACAAAACAAAAAAGCAAGCACUACAUGAGUGCCUUAAACUACAGGGGAACUCGUCAAAGUUGGCGCACAAUGAACUCUGGACGGUACUAGCACCCAGUGACUCAUGGCUUGACUCCAGCUAG
rnacentral:rRNA from 1 species